GAUGAACGCUGGCGGCGUGCCUAAUACAUGCAAGUCGAGCGAAUGGAUUAAGAGCUUGCUCUUAUGAAGUUAGCGGCGGACGGGUGAGUAACACGUGGGUAACCUGCCCAUAAGACUGGGAUAAUUCCGGGAAACCGGGGCUAAUACCGGAUAACAUUUUGAACCGCAUGGUUCGAAAUUGAAAGGCGGCUUCGGCUGUCACUUAGGGAUGGACCCGCGUCGCAUUAGCUAGUUGGUGAGGUAACGGCUCACCAAGGCAACGAUGCGUAGCCGACCUGAGAGGGUGAUCGGCCACACUGGGACUGAGACACGGCCCAGACUCCUACGGGAGGCAGCAGUAGGGAAUCUUCCGCAAUGGACGAAAGUCUGACGGAGCAACGCCGCGUGAGUGAUGAAGGCUUUCGGGUCGUAAAACUCUGUUGUUAGGGAAGAACAAGUGCUAGUUGAAUAAGCUGGCACCUUGACGGUACCUAACCAGAAAGCCACGGCUAACUACGUGCCAGCAGCCGCAGUAA
rnacentral:rRNA from 1 species